rnacentral:rRNA from 1 species
CGAAUGCUGACAUAAGUAACGAUAAAGCGGGUGAAAAGCCCGCUCGCCGGAAGACCAAGGGUUCCUGUCCAACGUUAAUCGGGGCAGGGUGAGUCGACCCCUAAGGCGAGGCCGAAAGGCGUAGUCGAUGGGAAACAGGUUAAUAUUCCUGUACUUGGUGUUACUGCGAAGGGGGGACGGAGAAGGCUAUGUUGGCCGGGCGACGGUUGUCCCGGUUUAAGCGUGUAGGCUGGUUUUCCAGGCAAAUCCGGAAAAUCAAGGCUGAGGCGUGAUGACGAGGCACUACGGUGCUGAAGCAACAAAUGCCCUGCUUCCAGGAAAAGCCUCUAAGCAUCAGGUAACAUCAAAUCGUACCCCAAACCGACACAGGUGGUCAGGUAGAGAAUACCAAGGCGUUUGAGAGAACUCGGGUGAAGGAACUAGGCAAAAUGGUGCCGUAACUUCGGGAGAAGGCACGCUGAUAUGUAGGUGAAGUCCCUCGCGGAUGGAGCUGAAAUCAGUCGAAGAUACCAGCUGGCUGCAACUGUUUAUUAAAAACACAGCACUGUGCAAACACGAAAGUGGACGUAUACGGUGUGACGCCUGCCCGGUGCCGGAAGGUUAAUUGAUGGGGUCAGCGCAAGCGAAGCUCUUGAUCGAAGCCCCGGUAAACGGCGGCCGUAACUAUAACGGUCCUAAGGUAGCGAAAUUCCUUGUCGGGUAAGUUCCGACCUGCACGAAUGGCGUAAUGAUGGCCAGGCUGUCUCCACCCGAGACUCAGUGAAAUUGAACUCGCUGUGAAGAUGCAGUGUACCCGCGGCAAGACGGAAAGACCCCGUGAACCUUUACUAUAGCUUGACACUGAACAUUGAGCCUUGAUGUGUAGGAUAGGUGGGAGGCUUUGAAGUGUGGACGCCAGUCUGCAUGGAGCCGACCUUGAAAUACCACCCUUUAAUGUUUGAUGUUCUAACGUGGACCCGUAAUCCGGGUUGCGGACAGUGUCUGGUGGGUAGUUUGACUGGGGCGGUCUCCUCCUAAAGAGUAACGGAGGAGCACGAAGGUUGGCUAAUCCUGGUCGGACAUCAGGAGGUUAGUGCAAUGGCAUAAGCCAGCUUGACUGCGAGCGUGACGGCGCGAGCAGGUGCGAAAGCAGGUCAUAGUGAUCCGGUGGUUCUGAAUGGAAGGGCCAUCGCUCAACGGAUAAAAGGUACUCCGGGGAUAACAGGCUGAUACCGCCCAAGAGUUCAUAUCGACGGCGGUGUUUGGCACCUCGAUGUCGGCUCAUCACAUCCUGGGGCUGAAGUAGGUCCCAAGGGUAUGGCUGUUCGCCAUUUAAAGUGGUACGCGAGCUGGGUUUAGAACGUCGUGAGACAGUUCGGUCCCUAUCUGCCGUGGGCGCUGGAGAACUGAGGGGGGCUGCUCCUAGUACGAGAGGACCGGAGUGGACGCAUCACUGGUGUUCGGGUUGUCAUGCCAAUGGCACUGCCCGGUAGCUAAAUGCGGAAGAGAUAAGUGCUGAAAGCAUCUAAGCACGAAACUUGCC